CAGAGAAUAGUUUAAUUUAAAAUAAUAAUUUUGGAGAUUAUUGAUAUUAUUAUUUAAUUUCUUUGA
rnacentral:tRNA from 1 species